CCUACGGGAGGCAGCAGUGGGGAAUAUUGCGCAAUGGGCGAAAGCCUGACGCAGCGACGCCGCGUGAGGGAUGAAGGUCUUCGGAUCGUAAACCUCUGUCAGCAGGGAAGUACGGUCACUGUGCUAAUCAGCAGUGAAUUGACGGUACCUGCAAAGGAAGCAACGGCUAACUCCGUGCCAGCAGCCGCGGUAAUACGGAGGGGGCGAGCGUUAAUCGGAAUUACUGGGCGUAAAGCGCUCGUAGGCGGGAUGUCAAGUCAAGGGUGAAAUCCCCGCGCUCAACGUGGGAACGGCCUUUGAAACUGGCAAACUUGAGUGUGUGAGAGGAUAGUGGAAUUCCAGGUGUAGGAGUGAAAUCCGUAGAUAUCUGGAGGAACAUCAGUGGCGAAGGCGACUAUCUGGCACAUAACUGACGCUGAGGAGCGAAAGCGUGGGUAGCAAACAGGAGUAGAUACCCUUGUAGUC
rnacentral:rRNA from 1 species